rnacentral:rRNA from 1 species
GACGAACGCUGGCGGCGUGCUUAACACAUGCAAGUCGAGCGGUAAGGCCCUUUCGGGGGUACACGAGCGGCGAACGGGUGAGUAACACGUGGGUGACCUGCCUUUAGCUCUGGGAUAAGCCUGGGAAACCGGGUCGUAAUACCGGAUAUGACUCCGCGGCGCAUGUUGUGGGGUGGAAAGCCUUGUGCGGCUGGAGAUGGGCCCGCGGCCUAUCAGCUUGUUGGUGGGGUGAUGGCCUACCAAGGCGACGACGGGUAGCCGGCCUGAGAGGGCGACCGGCCACACUGGGACUGAGACACGGCCCAGACUCCUACGGGAGGC